rnacentral:lncRNA from 1 species
GACAUAAUCUUGCACCGACCUAGCUUCUGUGAGAUUUGUCAAGUGAUUGUAUGCUAUCUUCUCUGCAUUCAUGGACCAAAAUUGAUUCUUAAAGCCAAUCUUAAGUUCCCUCUUAGUGACAAUAUCUCUCUUCAGCUCCAUAACUUUGAACUCAAUGUCACCUCCUAAUGGCUACUACAUCUGUCAAAUAGCUAGCUGUAAAUAUAAUUCCUUUAGUAGUAUUUGCCCCAUAUAGUUGGAAGUAUUUUUGCAUAUUGAAGAUCCAUUGACAUACAUCCUCUUGUCUUGAAGUUCUAAAGUAUGUACUAGGCUUAUUCAAUUUCAAUCUAGCAAAUUUCGACUUUUUUGUCUUCAAGGCUUUUAUUUGCCUUAACAAAGUAGCUAUCUGGCCUAAGAAGUGUUG